AUGGAUCUCUCAAUGAAGAUGAUGAAUCCGACGGCGGAGAAACUGUCAGUAUCGUUUGCUAUACAGAAUCGCGGUCGGUUAAAACUUUGGGAGGCGCGUGGUGGACGAUGGCGGGAUGCGGCAUCAGAGGGCUCGGUCCCGUACGUCACAGAGGAGCAGUGGGUUGUGAGUUGGUCAUUCGCGGUGCUGUUGUUCAGUCCGUCGGAGUAG